rnacentral:rRNA from 1 species
AUUGAACGCUGGCGGCGGGCUUAACACAUGCAAGUCGAGCGGGGUGAUGGUGCUUGCACUAUCACUUAGCGGCGGACGGGUGAGUAAUGCUUAGGAAUCUGCCUAUUAGUGGGGGACAACAUCUCGAAAGGGAUGCUAAUACCGCAUACGUCCUACGGGAGAAAGCAGGGGAUCACUUGUGACAUUGCGCUAAUAGAUGAGCCUGAGUCGGCUCAGCUAGUUGGUGGGGUAAAGGCCUACCAAGGCGGCGAUCUGUAGCGGGUCUGAGAGGAUGAUCCGCCACACUGGGACUGAGACACGGCCCAGACUCCUACGGGAGGCAGCAGUGGGGAAUAUUGGACAAUGGGGGGAACCCUGAUCCAGCCAUGCCGCGUGUGUGAAGAAGGCCUUAUGGUUGUAAAGCACUUUAAGCGAGGAGGAGGCUCUUUUGGUUAAUACCCAAGAUGAGUGGACGUUACUCGCAGAAUAAGCACCGGCUAACUCUGUGCCAGCCGCCGCCGUAA